rnacentral:rRNA from 1 species
UACGAAGGGUGCAAGCGUUACUCGGAAUUACUGGGCGUAAAGCGUGCGUAGGUGGUUUGUUAAGUCAGUGGUGAAAGCCCGGUAGCUCAAACUUCGGGAACUGCCCAUGAUACUUGAUAGACUUUGAGUACAGGAUGAAAGUGGGCGGAAUGUGGACAAGUAGGCGGGUGAAAAUGCUUAGAUAUGAUCACAGAACACCGAAUUGCGAAAGGGCCAAG